rnacentral:tRNA from 1 species
GCCAGCGUAGCUCAGAGGCUAGAGCGACGGUUUUGUAAACCGUGGGUCGUGGGUUCGACUCCCACCGCUGGCU